AUCACCAUCAAGGGCAAUUUCGUC
rnacentral:siRNA from 1 species